rnacentral:rRNA from 1 species
UACGUAGGGGGCAAGCGUUAUCCGGAAUUACUGGGUGUAAAGGGUGAGUAGGCGGCAUGGUAAGCCAGAUGUGAAAGCCUUGGGCUUAACCCGAGGAUUGCAUUUGGAACUAUCAAGCUAGAGUACAGGAGAGGAAAGCGGAAUUCCUAGUGUAGCGGUAAAAUGCGUAGAUAUUAGGAAGAACACCAGUGGCGAAGGCGGCUUUCUGGACUGAAACUGACGCUGAGGCACGAAAGCGUGGGGAGCGAACAGG